UCCGCCUAACCAAUGUGGCCGUGGUA
rnacentral:piRNA from 1 species